rnacentral:rRNA from 1 species
GCUGAACUCUUUCUUCGUGCCUAAUACAUGCAAGUCGAGCGAACAGACGAGGAGCUUGCUCCUCUGACGUUAGCGGCGGACGGGUGAGUAACACGUGGAUAACCUACCUAUAAGACUGGGAUAACUUCGGGAAACCGGAGCUAAUACCGGAUAAUAUAUUGAACCGCAUGGUUCAAUAGUGAAAGACGGUUUUGCUGUCACUUAUAGAUGGAUCCGCGCCGCAUUAGCUAGUUGGUAAGGUAACGGCUUACCAAGGCAACGAUGCGUAGCCGACCUGAGAGGGUGAUCGGCCACACUGGAACUGAGACACGGUCCAGACUCCUACGGGAGGCAGCAGUAGGGAAUCUUCCGCAACGGGCGAAAGCUUGACGGAGCAACGCCGCGUGAGUGAUGAAGGUCUUCGGAUCGUAAAACUCUGUUAUUAGGGAAGAACAAAUGUGUAAGUAACUAUGCACGUCUUGACGGUACCUAAUCAGAAAGCCACGGCUAACUACGUG